GACGAACGCUGGCGGCGUGCUUAACACAUGCAAGUUGAACGGAGCACAUCAAGUAGCAAUACGAGGUGUGCUUAGUAGCGGACGGGUGAGUAACGCGUGAGUAACCUACCUUUGUGAGGGGGACAACAGCUGGAAACGGCUGCUAAUACCGCAUAAGGCCACGACUCCGAUUGGAGACGAGGUAAAAGAUUUAUCGCACAAAGAUGGACUCGCGUCCCAUUAGCUAGUUGGUGAGGUAACGGCCCACCAAGGCGACGAUGGGUAGCCGACCUGAGAGGGUGAUCGGCCACACUGGAACUGAGACACGGUCCAGACUCCUACGGGUGGCAG
rnacentral:rRNA from 1 species